rnacentral:rRNA from 1 species
UACGUAGGGGGCUAGCGUUGUCCGGAAUCAUUGGGCGUAAAGAGCGUGUAGGCGGCCCGGUAAGUCCGCUGUGAAAGUCCAGGGCUCAACCCUGGGAUGCCGGUGGAUACUGUCGGGCUCGAGUCCGGAAGAGGCGAGUGGAAUUCCUGGUGUAGCGGUGAAAUGCGCAGAUAUCAGGAAGAACACCCGUGGCUAAGGCGGCUCUCUAGUACGGUACUGACGCUGAGACGCGAAAGCGUGGGGAGCGAACAGG